UUGGCCCACAGGAAUAGAGUUGAGCCACUCUCAUGAUGACAGCUUUAUGCUGAAAUAUAUGUCACAGAGUCAGUGGGUUUAGAAAACGUCUUUUUGUUAAUCCUCCCAUCUUUUAUAUAUACUGUUAUGUCAAGGAAGUUAACCGUCAAUUGAUCAAUAUGAAAAGAUAAAUUAAUAUUUCUAUUAUUAGAAUUCAGAGUGUGACAGAAAAUGUUUAAUGAAUCCAGAUCUCCACGCCAAACGAAAAAAAUAUUGUCAAUAUAGUGAACAUAAGACACCAGGUCAACCCCAAGCACAUCGCCGGACCAGAUGAUCUCGGUUUCCCACAACCCCAUGAAGAGGUUGGCGUAGCUCGGAGCGAACCUGGUGCCCAUCGCUGUCCCAGUUUUCUGAAGAUCUCCUUCCUUCUAGAUCUUCAUGUCAGUGUCCUGUCUGAAUACCAGGACCGUCUGUUACCUAUAACGCCUGAAGGUUGAGAUGCUCCAUGCGAGGAUAGAAAAACACUUUACUGGGACGCUGGGAAACAGCGGCACCUAAUUGUAUCUGGCAGAUGGAUUGUGGAUAAGGAUACAAUCAUAAACUGCGGUCUAGAUGAAAUAUGAAUUCUGAUUUGUUUCCGCCAAUGUAUUAUUCAUUACUUUUCUUAUCAAGUGGUCGGUAGUGUAUGCCGUCAUUUAAUAUCUAAACAUGCUUAGCAAUAAUUAUUCAUGUAUAACGAGUCCAACCUCAGAAUACUUAUUGAAUUGUUUUGACAGUUUCAUCGUGAAUUUGUUUUUCAACCAAGUCUCCCUGAUACACUAAAUGUAAAUUUGUUGAAAUACUUUUCGAUUAUUCAACAGUUAAUGUCCA